CCAGAACAGGAUGAAGCUGAUGGCGGACAGCUAUGACGAGGACCACCACCAUUACCACCACCACCACCACCACCACCACCACCGGUCUCCCGGGAGGUCGCAGCACGCCAACCACAGGCCCUCUCCUGACCAGGAUGACGAGGAGGGCAUAUGGGCAUAGCCGGGCCUGUAAACCAAAGUUCCAGUUUUGUUUUGAGGGAUGAUCCAGCUCUGUCGGAGGCACGGAGGCACAGUCAAAUCUCAUGCUGUACAUUGAUCACCUGUCCAACCUUUGCCUAGAGUGGGAGCCCCAGUCUCUUCGAGAGAUCCAACUCGACCUGUCUGUAAAGAAGAGGAGGAGGGAGACAGCGGGGAGGAUCCGGUGGCAGUUUAACACCAGAGCGGGUCCAGUGUUUGCACUGGCCCGUUUGGAGCUACAGAAGGGCUGACUAAAGGGAAAACAUAGUCCUGCAGCCAUAUUCUGAUCAUCUAUUGCAGUGCGGUUCACAUCACUGUCCACCACCUGGGAUGGCUCAUCAGGCCGAAGAGGAUGUUUCACUUUCCUCACUGAGCAGGAUUCCGGCCGGCCUGGUUGCUUCCUCCGUCACCUCUGUCGGUUCUCUGGCAUCAGAUACGUCAGAAAGGAAGAAUACUAGAAGGAGGAAAAUGACAGAGCUCCCGGGGUUUUUGUUGUUGGGAUCUGGGCAUUUAAAACGUGACCAUCCCUUCAGAAUAUCAUUAUUUGAUAGAGUUUUAUUUAUGUUCCUAAGACAUCAUUGGAUAAGUUUGAACUCCGUGACAUUUCAGCUGUGGGUUCAGCUUCUGCUGGACAACUAGCUUCACCUCCAGGUUUCCCGCUGGUUCAGUCUAAGUGGUCGUUUCCUAAUGCAUUAGAUUAUCAAAAAGUGUGACUUCUGGGAGUGAGUGGCGUUGGCAGUGUUUGUAUACUAAGGUGUGUGGAGUGUUUGGCAAAGAAACCAAAACCCCAAAGAUGGCAAGCCUGUACCCUCCUCUAUUUCUUUAACCCGCUGUCCGAAGAGCCCCAAUUUGACGGUGAUAACCAGUAGUUUUCCUCUGGGCCAGGUUGGAAAUGAAAUCAAUUUUUUGAAACCACUAAUACUUGCCAAGAAAUCGCCUUAUGAGAACAUGGUGUGUGUCUCUGACAAUGUCUGGUACAUCUAAAUUGAUCAUUCAUGAUUUUUAUCAACCCUGUGUUUGUACCGGGAGUGGCAAACACCUGAGGGAACAGCAUAUUUCUGCCCAGCCUGUUCCGUACAACCCCUGGCUGGGAGGGUGACCAAACCUCAGACUCUUACCAUUCCCGGACUUGCAGGUCUGCAUUAAGAAGCUGGAACUCACUCGCAUUUCAAGAUCUCAACCAUGUAAGCUUAUAUCCUGUAAAUGAAGGGUCAUGUCUCAAAAAAAAAAAAAAAAAUGUCUCCAACAUGGAUUCCAAAGCAUUUUCAGCAUCAAACAUGAAAACAUUGAUGAAUGAGGAAAAAAAAAAUCACAAAAGCUGUGUAUCUGUAUAUAGCUCUACACAACAUGUUUGUGGGUACGGAGUCAUUAUUUAAAGGACAUGCCAGGGAAAGAGACCACGUUUUGAGGUCUUUUACAUAUAGUGACAUGGUACUAAGGAGAAUUAAACUCCUACUGUUUCCUCUGAAGAUAACAAAAAAAUAUUUUAAGUUGUUAUAACUUUGUAAAACUCAUGACCAAGUCUGGAAAACAUGUGCGGCCUCGUGUAUUGAUCUACUUUCUUGUCAAUGGAAGAAAGCCUUCCAUGUGUAUGCAAGUGGGGGAUGAAAAUUUGCAUUUUUCAAGGACAAACAGUGACGUUAAGCAUGAGAGGCCUUAAUAAAUAUAGUUGUCUUUC